AUUCAGUCUUAUUAUCAGAUGAUAAAUCUUGCUUUAUCAGCACAGACAGUACGUGUCUGCUUUAUAACAGUGAAUUAACUGUGUUAAUAGAAAAAGUAUCAAAGUUAGGUUUGUGAGGAUUCAGUGGUACCAAUAUAUACAAAUAUUUACAAUGAAGGUUCAAAUUAACUAGACUUCUGCAGCAAGGGUCUAGUGUUUCAUUCAUUUUUUCUAUUUCUUUUUACUUAAUGACA